rnacentral:rRNA from 1 species
UACGUAGGGGGCAAGCGUUGUCCGGAUUCAUUGGGCGUAAAGAGCGUGUAGGCGGCCAGGUAGGUCGGUUGUGAAAACUGGAGGCUCAACCUUCAGACGUCGACCGAAACCAUCUGGCUAGAGUCCGGGAGAGGAGAGUGGAAUUCCUGGUGUAGCGGUGAAAUGCGCAGAUAUCUGGAGGAACACCGGUGGCGAAGGCGGCAUCCUGGACCGGCAUUGACGCUGAGGCGCGAAAGCCAGGGGAGCAAACGGG